AGCUUUAUAGUCAUUUAUGAUUUUAAAUUGCAAAUUUAAAGGUAAACUAAAAUUUUAAGGCUU
rnacentral:tRNA from 1 species